rnacentral:rRNA from 1 species
UCGAGAAUCUUUCGCAAUGGGGGCAACCCUGACGAAGCGACGCCGCGUGCAGGAUGAAGGUCUUCGGAUUGUAAACUGCUGUCAGCAGGGAAGAAAAAGUCCGCCGUGAAUAACGGCGGGCCUUGACGGUACCUGCAGAGGAAGCCACGGCUAACUCUGUGCCAGCAGCCGCGGUAAUACAGAGGUGGCGAGCGUUGUUCGGAUUCAUUGGGCGUAAAGCGCCCGUAGGCGGCGAGGUAAGUUGGACGUGAAAGCUCCCGGCUUAACUGGGAGAGGGCGUGCAAAACUGGCUGGCUUGAGGCUGGUAAAGGAGCGUGGAAUUCCCGGUGUAGUGGUGGAAUGCGUAGAUAUCGGGAGGAACACCAGUGGCGAAAGCGACGCUCCGGAUCAGACCUGACGCUGAGGGCGAAAGCGUGGGGAGCGAACGGGAUUAGAUACCCCGGUAGUCCACGCCGUAAACGAUGGAUACGUAGGUGUCGGCGGAUAUAAACCCGUCGGUGCCGAAGCUAACG